UACGUAGGGGGCUAGCGUUGUCCGGAAUCAUUGGGCGUAAAGCGCGUGUAGGCGGUCCGGUAAGUCCGCUGUGAAAGUCGGGGGCUCAACCCUCGGAUGCCGGUGGAUACUGUCGGGCUUGAGUACGGAAGAGGCGAGUGGAAUUCCUGGUGUAGCGGUGAAAUGCGUAGAUAUCUGGAGGAACACCGGUGGCGAAGGCGGCAUCCUGGACAGAUACUGACGCUGAGGAGCGAAAGCCAGGGGAGCAAACGGG
rnacentral:rRNA from 1 species